UGAAUGUCUGUGUAGCCUGAGAGGUUUUGC
rnacentral:piRNA from 1 species